GAAGCCCCGGCAGAACUUCUUCUGCAUCUCCAGGCUUGCAAUCUGGCGUGUGACACCCCGGAGCCU
rnacentral:tRNA from 1 species